UACUGGGUUUGCUGGGCCUUGUCCAGCUAAUUCCGUUGCAGUCACAUCCUGCUUCAGCCUUUGACGCAUUGCCCACCGCUGCCGUAAAAGGGGGGAGGGGGGCAAGCCUGUUUAGAGGUGGAUUCUUUGUUCAGUGGUUUUUUUUUAAAGUUUGGGUGUUUUUUAAUGGAGUGGGAUGUACUUUACCAAAAGUAUUUGAACUUGCGAGGAACAUUUCAAAGCAGAAUGAAAGCGUAUUAAACAGAAUGGAAAGGGUCAUUAAAAGCCGGAAUAGAAAGGAUUUUAGAUGAAAGAAAUCCUCUUUCAAUGUAAACAAAUUAGAAACAGGAGAGAAACAAACCAAGAUUUUAAUGAACGUGGGACUCCGCCUCCCAGAUUUGCGGGCAGCCCUAACCUGGCAUAGAUAGGCUCCUCGGGAUCGUUUGUGCAUGUUAAGUCAGAGCACAUCUUAUAACUCUGCUCUCACUUAAUCUAUGACAAAUAUUUUUUUGUCAAAACUUGUUGGGCUACAUUGUGUCACUUUGGUGAUGGGCCAGCCUUUAUUACACACAUACUCCCUAUCGGAUACUCGGACAGUGUCCAGUUUCUCCGUCUUAAAAACAAAGCUGCUGGUCUGUGCUGGUAUGUACAGAGGUCCAGCAAGACCUUUGUUAAAUUGUUUCUUUAGGAUAGAUUCCCAGAGGUGGAAUUUUUAAUUAUACUGUGUAAAACUUGUAGACUUCCAGUACAUCUCCUAAAAUGCCCUGUUGACAAUUUGAACCAAUCUAGAGUUCCUUACCCAGUGUUUGAGAGUAUCUUGCAUUGUUUGUUCUAGAACAGGGAUUCUUAACCUCAGGCUGUGAGCCUUGGAAUUUAGGACUCUGCAAAAUUGGCUGGGGAAACAUCGACAUCUUUUUUUUCAUCAACCUCCUGCUGAGCUUUUCUUCAUGGUGGCAGGAGCAGCACCCAUGGCUUCGUCUCCAUUUUGGAGCCCAGGGAACCUUUCUGGCUGGCCCUGAGCCCCUCACUGCAGAGUUGAGCAGAGUCCUGACCCCUGUUCAGGACAUGUUAUGUAGUGGGGCGCUCAAACCAAGUCCAGAUGUCCCAUGUUUGUUUCUUGAGGUGUUACCACAUCUCAGUAGACCUGGUUUCCUUUUAGUCCUGCAGGUGCACAUUCUGAGGACAGCUCUGGGCAGGAGAGAAGUCAAGAGCUGCUCCCUGACCUACUCCAUGCUGGUCAGAAAGGGUUAUGGUUUAGUUCUUGUUCUUUGUGCUAUAUAAUCUGAGAGGGAGAUAAUUCAGACCUUUAUCCCCAGUGACCUGGGGGUGCCAGUGCUCCACAUUGUUUCCAAACUACUGUUGGCUCUUAAAGCCAAUUCUUGUCAGAUUAAGGUUGCUGACUUUUAGUUUUUGCAGGACAAGAAUUGCUUCCCUCUGAAAGCUCCUUGAAUCACGUGGUCUAUGAAAGAACAGGCCGUGGAGACACGUGAGCUGGAGUCCAGGAAGGCAUCUGUGACCCCACCGGGACUUUGCCUGCACUCGCUAGGGAGAGGCAAGUCGUGGAUGGCGCUCUCUGCUCCCUGCAGGCCUUCACCUGGGAGUUGGCCUGACCCAUGCUGCCUGCAGUCUUGAGGGGACAAGCAUGUCGGCUUCAACAAAACCCCUGGCACUGGCAGAGCUAGCCCCCUGCCCCGAGGACAAGCCCAAGGGGAAGCCACUCCUUACCUGGGGCUCUCUCUUUGGCCCCCGCAGCGAGAAGGUGGUUUUCACCAGGAGCGAGGGAAGCCCCGAGGAGAACGUGCUCACCAUAACCAUUACAGAGACCACCGUCAUCGAGUCUGACCUGGGCGUGUGGAGCUCCCGGGCUCUGCUCUACCUCACACUGUGGUUCUUCUUCAGCUUCUGUACCCUGUUCCUCAACAAGUACAUCCUGUCCUUGCUGGAAGGGGAGCCCAGCAUGCUAGGUGCUGUACAGAUGCUGUCAACUACGUUCAUUGGAUGUGUAAAAAUACUGGUUCCUUGCUGUUUAUAUCAGCACAAAACCCGGCUUUCUUAUCCACCCAAUUUCCUCAUGAUCAUGCUGUUUGUGGGUCUAAUGAGGUUUGCAACCGUGGUUUUGGGUCUGGUCAGCCUGAAAAAUGUGGCGGUUUCGUUUGCUGAGACAGUGAAGAGCUCUGCUCCCAUUUUCACUGUGAUCAUGUCCCGGAUGAUCCUGGGGGAGUACACAGGGUUGCUGGUCAACCUCUCCCUCAUCCCCGUCAUGGGAGGCCUGGCACUGUGCACGGCCACAGAGAUAAGCUUCAAUGUCCUGGGGUUUUCGGCUGCGUUGUCCACCAACAUCAUGGACUGUUUGCAAAAUGUUUUUUCAAAAAAGCUGCUCAGCGGGGACAAAUACAGGUUCUCGGCUGCAGAGCUGCAGUUCUACACCAGUGCCGCAGCCGUGACCAUGCUGGUCCCCGCCUGGAUCUUCUUCAUGGACUUGCCGGUGAUCGGCAGAAGUGGGAAGAGCUUCAGUUAUAGCCAGGAUGUCGUGUUGCUGCUGCUGAUGGAUGGCGUUCUGUUCCACCUGCAGAGUGUCACGGCCUAUGCCCUCAUGGGCAAAAUUUCCCCCGUGACGUUCAGCCACACGUAGCCAUAGUUCCUGUAUCAGAGGCACCGCUAUGGAAACAGAGGCCUCUCUGCCUUCUCUUCCUUCUGUAACUGGAAGAGUUUAAUGGAAGCACCAUUUCAAGACUGGAGAGUUUUCAGUAACAAGCAGAAAAGCAUGAGCUUCUGUCGCCAGCAGCCUAGAAAUCCACAUCCGCAGCUUUGGCCACAUCGUGUCAUUGUCGCCAGCACCGUGAAGCAUGCCUUGUCCAUUUGGCUCAGUAUUAUAGUGUUCGGCAACAGAGUCACCAGCCUGUCGGCCGUCGGC